rnacentral:rRNA from 1 species
GACGAACGCUGGCGGCGUGCUUAACACAUGCAAGUCGAACGGAAAGGCCCAUUUUGGGUGGUACACGCGAGGCGAAAGGGGGAGUGAAACGUGUGUAUCAUGUGCUUGACAUUGGGGUAAAUUCAGGGAACUGGGGGUAAUAUCGGAGAGGAGCCCACGCUGCGGGGUGGGGGUUGGAAAGUUUCGGCGGUUGGGGUUGGACUCGCGGCUUAUCAGCUUGUGGGUGGGGUAGUGGCUUACCAAGGCGUUGACGGGUAGCCGGCCUGAGAGGGUGACCGGCCACAUUGGGACUGAGAUACGGCCCAGACUCCUACGGGAGGCAGCAGUGGGGAAUAUUGCACAAUGGGCGGAAGCCUGAUGCAGCGACGCCGCGUGCGGGAUGACGGCCUUCGGGUUGUAAACCGCUUUCGCUCAUGACGAAGCUUUGUGUGACGGUAGUUGGUAAAGAAGCACCGGCUAACUACGUG